UAAACUUUUCAAUAAAGCUGUGUGAAAAAAGUCUUAGUAUACAUACAUAAUUUACUUACAAAGAACAAGUUAUAUAACAGGAAGAGUUAUAUUUGGGAUUAGAACCAGGCUAAAACCAGAAUAACCUACAUUUGAAACCUAGUUUAAUUCAUAUUAGGCAGUUAUUUCUAUAAGAAAAUGAAUAUUUCCUCUCUUGCAUAAGCAAAAGCUUCAAUCCACAGUGGAACCGUGGAACUGAUCCAGAUAUAAAGGGAAAUUUCAUUCAGAGGUAAAGAAAACAACUGUUAAAGGAGAGAUUGCUUCAGAUCUUGAAGAUAUCAAACAACAAUGGAUAAGAAUAUCCCUAAGAACAAAUGGAGGCUACAGUGAAUACUAGGAAACAGAAGCUGAGGAAGACAUAUCCUGCCUCCGGGAAGCUCACCUUCUAGUGGGCAGCGAGACUACUCACUCAUGGGAUCUAGACAAACGGCUCUCACAAAUGCUGCUACAGAAGAGUCAAGAGCAAGUGGUUAAUGCUUAUGGGGCACUGCGAGAAUGGAGCAAGCUUUCACUAGGAAGUGGCAUUCAGAUCUGGCCCUGGAAGAUACCAAGUCUACGUCAAGAACUCAAGAUCUUGGGCUUCCCUGGUGGUGCAGUGGUUCGGAAUCCGCCUGCCGAUGCGGGGGACAUGGGUUCGAGCCCUGGUCCGGGAAGAUCCCACAUGCCGCGGAGCAACUAAACCCGUGCGCCACAACUACUGAGCCUGCGCUCUAGAGCCUGUGAGCCACAACUACUGAAGCCUGCGUGCCUAGAGCCCGUGCUCUGCAACAAGAGAAGCCACCGCAAUGAGAAGCCCACCCACCACAAUGAAGAGUAGUCCCCACUCACCGCAACUAGGGAAAGCCCGUGCACAGCAACAAAGACACAAUGCAGCCAAAAAUAAAUAAAUAAAAUAAACAUUAAAAAAAGAACUCAAGAUCUCUAAGCAGAACAGCUAACUCAAAGCUGAGGCAAUAAAGCUGAAAGGAUGGAAGGAAGAAAGGUUCAACCCUAUGACAAAAUGUAUAAAAAGGGACACUUAUAAGCAAAACUCAAAUCCUGCUCAAGAAAUAGUACUGUCCAGGGCUUCCCUGGUGGUGCAGUGGUUAAGACUCCGCCUGCCAAUACAGGGGACAUGGGUUCAAGCCCUGGCCCGGGAAGAUCCCACAUGCCGCAGAGCAACUAAGCCCGUGAGCCACAACUACUGAGCCUGCGCUCUAGAGCCCACACGCCACAACUACUGAGCCCACGUGCUGCAACUACCAAAGCCCAUGCGCCUAGAGCCCGUGCUCCGCAACAAGAGAAGCCACUGCAAUGAGAAGCCCAUGAGCCAAAAUGAAGAGCAGCCCCCGCUCACCGCAACUACAGAAAGCCGGCGUGCAGCAACGAAGACUCAAUGCAUCCAAAAAUAAAUAAAUAAAAGAAAUAGUACUGUCCAGGACAGUUAAUAAAACUCAAAUACGGACUCAAAGCAGGAAUAAAUGUUCUAUUUUAUGUUUUAGAAUUCUAAACAAAAUAACUAUUCCUUUCUAGCUUAGUAAACCUGAAACUACUUAAUAAUUAAUCAAAUUAAAAUGCACACACAUACAUAUACACAUUUAAACCCACUGUCCAGAAUAUUUCAUUAAUUAGAGACGGUAAUCUCCAGACUACUCUGGGUGGUAGAAGACGAUUAGGAAAUGAUAGUGUGAAGGCAAAGAAACUCAAAGUCAACCUUUUUAAAAGAAAAAUGGUCUUCCUCUAACUUCCUCUAGCUCUUCUGUUUAAAUACCAAAUAUUUAAUGUGGAAUGAUAUGUUUUGACUUAACUGUGGCUGAGGACCUUGGGUAUCUUAUAAAGUUGAAGGUUAAGUCACAGAUAAAGGUCACUUCACUCCUUUCUGAGCUGCAACAGUAUCUUCCUCAAAUGCUAAAUGCUGUCAGCAAUGCUUUCUAGACAGGAGGAAGCAACAGACAAAUCAUCUGGGGGGCUCACACUUAUUUUAAGAUAUGAACAGUAGAGACAGGGACCUUAGUGUGUUACAGAAUUAAGGCCUUCUAUUAAAUCUGAGGCUUCUGUUAGUUUUUAGAUAUUAGAAAAUGUUACACAAUGCCUAAUAAUUUAACGUUUAAAUAAGAAAGUAACAGCAAUUAAAGUCCAGCUAUCUGA